GACGAACGCUGGCGGCGUGCCUAAUACAUGCAAGUAGAACGCUGAAGGAGGAGCUUGCUUCUCUGGAUGAGUUGCGAACGGGUGAGUAACGCGUAGGUAACCUGCCUGGUAGUGGGGGAUAACUAUUGGAAACGAUAGCUAAUACCGCAUAAUAGUAGAUGUUGCAUGACAUUUGCUUAAAAGGUGCAAUUGCAUCACUACCAGAUGGACCUGCGUUGUAUUAGCUAGUUGGUGGGGUAACGGCUCACCAAGGCGACGAUACAUAGCCGACCUGAGAGGGUGAUCGGCCACACUGGGACUGAGACACGGCCCAGACUCCUACGGGAGGCAGCAGUAGGGAAUCUUCGGCAAUGGACGGAAGUCUGACCGAGCAACGCCGCGUGAGUGAAGAAGGUUUUCGGAUCGUAAAGCUCUGUUGUAAGAGAAGAACGGGUGUGAGAGUGGAAAGUUCACACUGUGACGGUAUCUUACCAGAAAGGGACGGCUAACUACGUGCCAGCAGCCGCGGUAAUACGUAGGUCCCGAGCGUUGUCCGGAUUUAUUGGGCGUAAAGCGAGCGCAGGCGGUUAGAUAAGUCUGAAGUUAAAGGCUGUGGCUUAACCAUAGUACGCUUUGGAAACUGUUUAACUUGAGUGCAAGAGGGGAGAGUGGAAUUCCAUGUGUAGCGGUGAAAUGCGUAGAUAUAUGGAGGAACACCGGUGGCGAAAGCGGCUCUCUGGCUUGUAACUGACGCUGAGGCUCGAAAGCGUGGGGAGCAAACAGGAUUAGAUACCCUGGUAGUCCACGCCGUAAACGAUGAGUGCUAGGUGUUAGACCCUUUCCGGGGUUUAGUGCCGCAGCUAACGCAUUAAGCACUCCGCCUGGGGAGUACGACCGCAAGGUCGAUACUCAAAGAAAUUGACGGGGGCCCGCCCAAGCGGUGGAGCAUGUGGUUUAAUUUGAAGCAACGCGAAGAACCUUACCAGGUCUUGACAUCCCUCUGCGCGCUUUAGAGAGAGAGCUUUCCUUCGGGACAGAGGUGACAGCUGGUGCAUCGUUGUCGUCAGCUGCUGUCGUGAGAUGAUGGGUUAAGUCCCCGCAACGAGCGCAACCCCUAUUGUUAGUUGCCAUCAUUUAGUUGGGCACUCUAGCGAGACUGCCGCUAAUAAACCGGAGGAAGGUGGGGAUGACGUCAAAUCAUCAUGCCCCUUAUGACCUGGGCUACACACGUGCUACAAUGGCUGGUACAACGAGUCGCAAGCCGGCGCCGGCAAGCUAAUCUCUUAAAGCCAGUCUCAGUUCGGAUUGUAGGCUGCAACUCGCCACACUGAAGUCGGAAUCGCUAGUAAUCGCGGAUCAUCAAAAAAGGGGUGAAUACGUUCCCGGGCCU
rnacentral:rRNA from 1 species